AAGACUUUUACAUCACAUUUUAUUUUUCUUGAUUUUUUCUUUGCACACCCUUGCUUGUAAAAUUAAACACGGCACAAUACAGUGCAUCAAGAAUUAAGAUGGACGAUGGGUAGUCAAGUUAGUCAUUGAACAUUUAACAGUCAAUGGAAUGUUGACAAAAAUAGAAGUGUUUGCAACAUAUCAUUCAAAAUCAAAACGGGAAAAACAAUAGUUUUCCAAAAUCACACAAUCACUGUGUUAGACAAGCAAAACAACUCUUGACACUACAACGUAGUGUCAUCUUCCCGAGUAUCAGAUGGACUAAACGUGCCUUUCAGAAGAACGCCUGGAUGCUUCCUCUGAAAAGAGAGAGA